rnacentral:rRNA from 1 species
CCCGUGGCGGGUGCUUACACCUGCAGUCAAACGAUGAAGCUGGAGCUUGCUCCGGUGGAUUAGUGGCGAACGGGUGAGUAACACGUGAGAAAUCUGCCCUUGACUCUGGGAUAACUGCGGGAAACUGUAGCUAAUACCGGAUACUUUCCCUGGUGGGCAUCCACUGGGGAAGAAAGAAUUUCGGUCAAGGAUGAUCUCGCGGCCUAUCAGCUAGUUGGUGAGGUAACGGCUCACCAAGGCGACGACGGGUAGCCGGCCUGAGAGGGUGACCGGCCACACUGGGACUGAGACACGGCCCAGACUCCUACGGGAGGCAGCAGUGGGGAAUAUUGCACAAUGGGCGCAAGCCUGAUGCAGCAACGCCGCGUGAGGGAUGACGGCCUUCGGGUUGUAAACCUCUUUUAGCAGGGAAGAAGCGAAAGUGACGGUACCUGCAGAAAAAGCACCGGCUAACUACGUGCCAGCAGCCGCGGUAAUACGUAGGGUGCAAGCGUUGUCCGGAAUUAUUGGGCGUAAAGAGCUCGUAGGCGGUUUGUCACGUCUGCUGUGAAGAUCCAAGGCUCAACCUUGGACUUGCAGUGGGUACGGGCAGGCUA